rnacentral:misc_RNA from 1 species
GAUGAAGAACGUAGCGAAAUGCGAUAAGUAAUGUGAAUUGCAGAAUUCAGUGAAUCAUCGAAUCUUUGAACGCACAUUGCGCCCCCCGGCAUUCCGGGGGGCAUGCCUGUCCGAGCGUCAUUGCACCCCUUCGAGCCCGCGCGGGCUCGGUGUUGGGCCUCGUCGUCCGCCCUCCCCGGUCUCCCCGGGGGGGGGGGGAGGACGGACGGGCCCGAAACGCAGUGGCGGCCCCGGGGCGACUUCCCGCGCAAUCGUAUUGCCUCGCGGUCGAAGCCUUUCGCCCCGGCGGGCCCGCCCGGCACCCCCGAUCAGAUCAUCUCCGGUUGACCUCGGAUCAGGCAGGGAUACCCGCUGAACUUAAGCAUAUCAAUAAGCGGAGGA